rnacentral:rRNA from 1 species
AGAGUUUGAUCCUGGCUCAGAACGAACGCUGGCGGCAGGCCUAACACAUGCAAGUCGAGCGCCCGUAGCGCAAGGGGAGCGGCGGACGGGUGAGUAACGCGUGGGAACGUACCCUUUGCUACGGAAUAGCCUCGGGAAACUGGGAGUAAUACCGUAUGACGUCGAGAGACCAAAGAUUUAUCGCCUUGGGAUAAGCCCGCGUCAGAUUAGGUAGUUGGUGGGGUAACGGCCUACCAAGCCUGCGAUCUGUAGCUGGUCUGAGAGGACGAUCAGCCACACUGGGACUGAGACACGGCCCAGACUCCUACGGGAGGCAGCAGUGGGGAAUUGUUCGCAAUGGGCGCAAGCCUGACGACGCAACGCCGCGUGGAGGAUGAAGAUCUUCGGGUCGUAAACUCCUUUCGAUCGAGACGAAAAUGACGGUACCGAGAGAAGAAGCCCCGGCUAACUCCGUGCCAGCAGCCGCGGUAAUACGGGGGGGGCAAGCGUUGUUCGGAAUUACUGGGCGUAAAGGGCUCGUAGGCGGCCAACUAAGUCAGACGUGAAAUCCCUCGGCUUAACCGGGGAACUGCGUC